rnacentral:rRNA from 1 species
UACGUAGGUGGCAAGCGUUGUCCGGAUUUAUUGGGCGUAAAGAGCGUGUAGGCGGCUAGAUAGGUCCGUUGUGAAAACUCGAGGCUCAACCUCGAGACGUCGAUGGAAACCAUCUGGCUAGAGUCCGGAAGAGGAGAGUGGAAUUCCUGGUGUAGCGGUGAAAUGCGCAGAUAUCAGGAAGAACACCCGUGGCGAAGGCGGCUCUCUGGUACGUGACUGACGCUGAGACGCGAAAGCGUGGGGAGCAAACAGG